UCCGGUUGAUCCUGCUGGAGGGUACUGCUAUCGGAGUUCGACUAAGCCAUGCAAGUCUAACCCUAGGACUUCCUGGGGUGGCAGACUGCUGAGUAACACGUAGUCAAUCUACCCUAUAGACGGGGAUAACCUCGAGAAAUUGAGGACAAUACCCGAUAUUCCUCUUAUGCUGGAAUGCUUAGAGGUUUAAAUGGGCGGUGAAUUGGAGCCGUUCCGCUGUAGGACGAGACUGCGGGGGAUUAUGGUUGUUGGUAGGGUAAUGGCUUACCAAGCCGAUAAUCUCUAGGGGCCAUGAGAGUGGUGGCCCCCAGAAGGGCACUGAGACAAGGGCCCUAGCCCUACGGGGUGCAGCAGGCGCGAAACCUCUACAAUGCUGGAAACAGUGAUAGGGGGACUCCGAGUGGCGUCGGCUAAGCUGACGUCUUUUGCCAAGUGUAAAUAGCUUGGAGAAUAAGGGUGUGGGCAAGACUGGUGGCAGCCGCCGCGGUAACACCAGCGCCUCAAGUGGUACCCACGAAUACUGGGCCUAGAGCGUUCGUAGCCGGCCAAAUAAGUCUUCUGUGAAAUAGUAUGGCUUAACCAUACUGCGCGCAGGAGAUACUGUUUGACUUGGGAACGGGGGAGGUCAGAGUACGCCCGGGGUAGGGGUAAAAUCCUUUAAGCCUGGGCGGACUACCAGUGGCGAAGGCGCCUGACCAAAACGUGUCCGACGGUGAGGAACGAAAGCUGGGGGAGCGAACGGGAUUAGAUACCCCGGUAGUCCCAGCCGUAAAUGAUGCAGACUGUGGUGUUGCUUCAGAGUUAAUCUGCAGCAGUGCUGUAGCGUAGGUGUUAAGUCUGCCGCCUGGGGAGUACGGCCGCAAGGUUGAAACUUAAAGGAAUUGGCGGGGGAGCACCACAAGGGGUGGAUGCUACGGUUUAAUUGGAUACAACGCCGUGAACUUCACCUAGGGCGACGGCAGAAUGAAGGCCAGACUAAAGAUCUUACCUAACAAGCCGAGAGGUGUUGCAUGGCCAUCGUCAGCUCGUGGCGUGAGUUGUCAGGUUAAGUCCUGCAACGAGCGAGACCCAUACCAUUAAUUGCUACUUUUACCUUUAGUAAGAGGCACCUUAAUGGGACUGCCCGCGUUAAGUGGGAGGAAGGAGUGGGCGACGGUAGGUCAGUAUGGCCCGAAUCCCUUGGGCUACACGCGGCAUACAAUGGCUGGAACAAUGGGUUGCUACUCCGAAAGGAGACGCUAAUCCCCUAAAUCCAGUCUUAGUUCGGAUUGAGGGUUGAAACUCACCCUCAUGAAGCUGGAAUCCCUAGUAAUCGCGUGUCAUCAUCGCGCGGUGAAUACGUCCCCGCUCCUUGCACACACCGCCCGUCAAGUCACCC
rnacentral:rRNA from 1 species